UACGAAGGGGGCGAGCGUUGUUCGGAAUUACUGGGCGUAAAGGGCGCGCAGGCGACUCUUCAAGUCAGGCGUGAAAGCCCCGGGCUCAACCUGGGAACUGCAUUUGUGACUGUAGAGCUGGAGUGCGGCAGAGGGGGAUGGAAUUCCGCGUGUAGCAGUGAAAUGCGUAGAUAUCGGGAGGAACACCUGUGGCGAAAGCGGCUCACUGGACCACAACUGACGCUGAGGCGCGAAAGCUAGGGGAGCAAACAGG
rnacentral:rRNA from 1 species